UCUUUAGCAAUGAAAAAGGCGUAGUACAAUUACCCGCUGAUUUGUAGAGAGCUUGUGGUUGGUGGAAACAAGCAUCAAGGUGAAUUGGAAUUGGACUUUCGAGCUAAGUUGAAUUCUUAAGUGAUCGGACUGGGAAACAGUUUGAUAAUAAGGGUGGCACCGCGGUUCAUUCGUCCCUUCG
rnacentral:ncRNA from 1 species